rnacentral:rRNA from 1 species
AGUGAACGCUGGCGGUAGGCCUAACACAUGCAAGUCGAACGGCAGCACAGUAAGAGCUUGCUCUUACGGGUGGCGAGUGGCGGACGGGUGAGGAAUACAUCGGAAUCUACUUUUUCGUGGGGGAUAACGUAGGGAAACUUACGCUAAUACCGCAUACGACCUACGGGUGAAAGCAGGGGAUCUUCGGACCUUGCGCGAUUGAAUGAGCCGAUGUCGGAUUAGCUAGUUGGCGGGGUAAAGGCCCACCAAGGCGACGAUCCGUAGCUGGUCUGAGAGGAUGAUCCGCCACACUGGAACUGAGACACGGUCCAGACUCCUACGGGAGGCAGCAGUGGGGAAUAUUGGACAAUGGGCGCAAGCCUGAUCCAGCCAUACCGCGUGGGUGAAGAAGGCCUUCGGGUUGUAAAGCCCUUUUGUUGGGAAAGAAAAGCAGCAGGUUAAUACCCCGCUGUUCUGACGGUACCCAAAGAAUCAGCACCGGCUAACUUC